ACGAACGCUGGCGGCGUGCUUAACACAUUCAAGUCGAACGGAAAGGCCCUGCUUUUGUGGGGUGCUCGAGUGGCGAACGGGGGAGUAACACGUGAGUAACCUGCCCUUGACUUUGGGAUAACAUCAGGAAACUGGGGCUAAUACCGGAGAGGAGCUUCUGCUGCAGGGUGGGGGAUGGGAAGAUUCGGCGGUUGGGGAUGGACUCGCGGCUUAUCAGCUUGUUGGUGGGGUAGGGGCUUACCAAGGCUUUGCCGGGUAGCCGGCCUGAGAGGGUGACCGGCCACAUUGGGCCUGCGAUACGGCCCAGAAUCCUACGGGAGGCAGCAGUGGGGAAUAUUGCACAAUGGGCGGAAGCCUGAUGCAGCAACGCCGCGUGCGGGAUGACGGCCUUCGGGUUGUAAACCGCUUUCGCCUGUGACGAAGCGUGAGUGACGGUAAUGGGUAAAGAAGCACCGGCUAACUACGUG
rnacentral:rRNA from 1 species